rnacentral:rRNA from 1 species
UACAGAGGGGGCAAGCGUUGUUCGGAAUUACUGGGCGUAAAGGGCGCGUAGGCGGCCCGCUAAGUCGAACGUGAAAUCCCCGAGCUCAACUCGGGAACUGCGUCCGAUACUGGUGGGCUUGAAUCCGGGAGAGGGAUGCGGAAUUCCAGGUGUAGCGGUGAAAUGCGUAGAUAUCUGGAGGAACACCGGUGGCGAAGGCGGCAUCCUGGACCGGUAUUGACGCUGAGGCGCGAAAGCGUGGGGAGCGAACAGG